AGUUUGAUCCUGGCCAGGACGAACGCUGGCGGCGUGCCUAAUACAUGCAAGUCGAACGAAGCUUUCUUUCACCGAAUGCUUGCAUUCACCGAAAGAAGCUUAGUGGCGAACGGGUGAGUAACACGUAGGCAACCUGCCCAAAAGAGGGGGAUAACACUUGGAAACAGGUGCUAAUACCGCAUAACCAUGAACACCGCAUGAUGUUCAUGUAAAAGACGGCUUUUGCUGUCACUUUUGGAUGGGCCUGCGGCGUAUUAACUUGUUGGUGGGGUAACGGCCUACCAAGGUGAUGAUACGUAGCCGAACUGAGAGGUUGAUCGGCCACAUUGGGACUGAGACACGGCCCAAACUCCUACGGGAGGCAGCAGUAGGGAAUCUUCCACAAUGGACGAAAGUCUGAUGGAGCAACGCCGCGUGAAUGAAGAAGGCCUUCGGGUCGUAAAAUUCUGUUGUCAGAGAAGAACGUGCGUGAGAGUAACUGUUCACGUAUUGACGGUAUCUGACCAGAAAGCCACGGCUAACUACGUGCCAGCAGCCGCGGUAAUACGUAGGUGGCGAGCGUUGUCCGGAUUUAUUGGGCGUAAAGGGAACGCAGGCGGUCUUUUAAGUCUGAUGUGAAAGCCUUCGGCUUAACCGAAGUAGUGCAUUGGAAACUGGAAGACUUGAGUGCAGAAGAGGAGAGUGGAACUCCAUGUGUAGCGGUGAAAUGCGUAGAUAUAUGGAAGAACACCAGUGGCGAAAGCGGCUCUCUGGUCUGUAACUGACGCUGAGGUUCGAAAGCGUGGGUAGCAAACAGGAUUAGAUACCCUGGUAGUCCACGCCGUAAACGAUGAGUGCUAAGUGUUGGAGGGUUUCCGCCCUUCAGUGCUGCAGCUAACGCAUUAAGCACUCCGCCUGGGGAGUACGGUCGCAAGACUGAAACUCAAAGGAAUUGACGG
rnacentral:rRNA from 1 species